AUUGAACGCUGGCGGCAGGCCUAACACAUGCAAGUCGAACGAGUGGCGGAGGGGUGAGUAAUGUCUGGGAAACUGCCCGAUGGAGGGGGAUAACUACUGGAAACGGUAGCUAAUACCGCAUACCAUCGGAUGUGCCCAGGGGGGAUUAGCUUGUAGGUGGGGUAAUGGCUCACCUAGGCGACGACCCCUAGCUGGUCUGAGAGGAUGACCAGCCACACUGGAACUGAGACACGGUCCAUACUCCUACGGGAGGCAGCAGUGGGGAAUAUUGCACAAUGGGCGCAAGCCUGAUGCAGCCAUGCCGCGUGUAUGAAGAAGGCCUUCGGGUUGUAAAGUACUUUCAGCGGGGAGGCGUUACCCGCAGAAGAAGCACCGGCUAACUCCGUGCCAGCAGCCGCGGUAAUUC
rnacentral:rRNA from 1 species